GUAUAUUAAAACUUUUUAUGGGUACUGAAAGACCCAGGUCAACAUUCUAUUACAUUCAUAAGGUGUAUGUGAGUGACAUAGAGCCUAGAGACAUAAGGCAAAGCUGGCUUUGAAAGACACAGCAGUCCUCAACCUAUCUGAAUUGUCAGAUAAUUGUUUCUCUAGGAUCUACAAACAGUGCACAUGGUGGAUAAAAUAAAGACGACAAGCGUGCACUUGCUCCUCUAAAGAGCCAGCAACAGCCUAUCAUGUUUAUUCAAUAAUGAUCCUUCCGCAGGUUCACCUACGGAAA
rnacentral:misc_RNA from 1 species